UACGUAGGGGGCAAGCGUUGUCCGGAAUCAUUGGGCGUAAAGCGCGCGUAGGCGGCCCGGUAAGUCCGUUGUGAAAGUCAAAGGCUCAACCUUUGAACGCCGAUGGAUACUGCCGGGCUAGAGUCCGGAAGAGGCGAGUGGAAUUCCUGGUGUAGCGGUGGAAUGCGCAGAUAUCAGGAGGAACAUCCGUGGCGAAGGCGGCUUUCUGGGACGGUACUGACGCUGAGACGCGAAAGCGUGGGGAGCGAACAGG
rnacentral:rRNA from 1 species